rnacentral:misc_RNA from 1 species
UACCAAAAGUUGCUUUCAGAUCGGCUGACCCCAUAUUUGUUUGCCAAGAUAAUCUACGACCAGUAUGCGUCCCAAGGUAGUAGCUUUUAAAUUUUUCACAUAUCCCAAGAAUUUCUGGAGGAAGGUUGCAAGUCGUGCUGGCCUGAGUUGGCCAUGAGCCUGUAGUGAGAACCUGCACAACUAGUGUGGGACCUUCUCCUAACUCAGCACCAAAUCGUGCAUAGAAACCCUGCAUCGUAUCCUGAGACGUCUUCAUAUCAGUGAACAUACCCUCCAACUUAGAGGUAAAUUGGUACCCACACUCUGUUUUGAGCUUAACAAUCAAACUUCUUUCAGCAUCAUCAGACACGGUUUUUCCGGACAGAAGCCUCUUGGCCAAAUGUUGCUUGUAAUAUUUCUCAAAUACAUCUUUCUCUUGAAGGUAACGGAAAAGCAUCAUAACCUUAUCUAGCACAAUUUCUAUAUCCUCCUCACUGACCCCUCUCAAUCCUCUGCGAAG